GCGGAUGCGGAUGUUUUGUAGGUGUUGGCAACGACAUCAGUAAUCCACAUCAUCAGGAAAAUUAUCCCGGUCACACAUCACUCUCCUUCGCACGAAGCUUAAGCGUGAUUUUGCUUGUCCGACUGAAGGAUUGAACAAUGGCCUGCCAAAGGUGCAGGUGCUGUUCAGGCACAACAAACAGUAAACCGCGUAUGGCCCGCGAAAGAAGGUACACUGUGAGCAAUGUGACUCCGGCAUAUGCGACAUAAAUGGUCAGGGGUUUCAAGAACGAUGCUACAUUCAGGACAAUCUAGACUUCCACGCAAGACGCCAAACGAAAGGAAGGUCUACAGC